UUCGCUGCGCUUACGUUCUCUUCGCUGGCAUCCGCUUACCCGUCGAGACGUGUACCGAUUAGGAAUCGCCCUGUCUGUACCAGGUCUUCGUGUUCGUCUACGCAGACGACAUUCUACUGAUGACAGUGGGUAACACCCACAUAAUUCCACGCAUCAGGAUACAGGCAGCUACCAUUGCCAUCAGCCGAUGCGCUGCCGGAAGAGGAUUUAGACUUCCAGUGCAGAAGAGCGGACAUAUAGUGAUAUGCAGGACUCCAGGGUCUGACUAUACAAAAACUACAUCCCUCACCGAAAAACACUAAUGAUCCUUGGAGUGUUGUUUGACAACAAACAUAGCUUCAUCCGUUAAGGAGAAGUGUGUCAUCUGGUUGAAUCUGUUGAAAAGCAGCCGCCUCAUCUAUGGCUUCGAGCUGACGUGAUUGGCUGGAGACAAACUCCCAAACACUCUGGCACCCAUCUACAACAAGGCACUAAGGACUGUCUCCGGCAUACUACCGUCAACACCAGCUACCUCUGUCUGCACUGAAAUUGGAGAACCUCAUUUCGACCUCAUCAUCGGCUCAGCGAUCGUAUCCAGGACUGCCAGAUUCUCGUCGAAAACCAGCGGUAGGAAGGAGACGGACCUAACUGCUCUUACAAAACGAUCCUGCAACGGCUCAAAAGGAUCAUCAGGAGUUGGAUUCGGGGUAAGCGAUGGUAAUAACAAUCUGAUUUACAGCAAGAAACUCGCUGCUAGGUCUUGUCAGCCAAGGUGGUUUGCAUCUUCGAGGCAACCACAAUUUCAUCUUCCAAGCCGCUGUUGAUCGUCUCCAAUUCGACGAGUGCCAUUGAUGCUAUCGGUGCGGCCAGGUCCUAACUAUCAUGGGUACAUGCCAUCAGGAAGUACCUAUUGCCCGACACUAGGAUCAUGUAGGUCCCCUGUCAGAGUGGUAUCACAGUGGACCAUUUUUCACUCGAUCGAGAGGUGGUUUGCAGAGAUGGCAAUUCCUCAACCAAGGUGUCGAUUGUCGAGUUCGAUGAUGUAAAAAGAAUGAGAGAACAACGAGUCCUGUUCAGACUGAGCACCGGUCAUAGCUCGGUCUCACACGGAAUCAACAGAGAACCUUUUUUUCACAACUUCGUCUAACACUUCUUGUGUGGUUGUCCGAAAUACGAUGAUCUACGAAAUCUCUAUGGACACAGCGAGAAUGUACGAAAUGAACGACGAUUCAACGAGACUAGCAGUGCUUUUCUGCUACUUAGAAGUGCCGAACUAUUCUUCAGGAUCUAACGUCUGAAGUUCAGACUCUGAUCAAUGGAUCAGCCAAGAAGAUCCUUGUUCCUACCCAUCCACGAUAAAGGGGGAAUAACACCAUUUUGGUAUCUUUAGCGGCACGGCUCCCUCUCCAAUAGCCUGGAGCCAUGGCCCGAGGACAUCAUUGCCUUCUAGUCCAGCAAUUUAUUUUGUUAAAAUAUUUUCUAAAAUGUUUUUAUAUGUGUUUAAUUUUCUUGUCUUUUGAAGUUCAACUUUGAUGUAACCAUUUUAUGUGAAAUGAUUUUUUUCUAACCAAGCCUGUCUACUGCCAUCGAUACGUAGGCAAACCAGUCAGGAGUCUGAAAGCCUCUCAAAUAGAGAUAAAAAAAUUAGAUGGUCAGAGCUAGCAAAACGUUGGUUGUUAUUUGACAGAAUAACGAGUUGCACUACCUAUGCACGUGAAUUACGAGGAAGUGGGAUCGGUCGCAAUGAAUUUGGGAAACGAUUGUGGAAUGGCAUAGUUCCUACGAUAAAUCCUUAUUAUUAGUUUUUCAUGUUUGUACGAAAAUCGAACAUCGCAAGUAGAUUCCACUUUUCAUAAAUGAUUACAAUUUCGCAAAGUAUCGAAAUUUCUUCAAUUCCUAAAAGCAAAUCCCCAUUUUGUUGACUUCUACACGGCAAUUUUUUUUAAAUUUGGAGAGGUAUUACAAUAAAAAUGUAUUAAAAAUAUUUUAAAGGCAAAAGAGAGAUAAAAGUUUUUGAUAUGAAAUAGAAUUUUUGAAAGAGAUUUUUCAACAGUGUAUUUAAAAUGUAGUUUUUUUCAACAACUUUGCGGUACAUCAUAUUUUAAUCAGAUAUUGGAUUUCGAGUUUGAUCACAUAAUGAUGAAAAGUUAGAACAAUAAUUCAAUCGUUUUGCUGUCGAAAGAUGCUGUUAUAUGGUAUGUUACGAUAGCGUUCUCAGUGCUAAUCUUUUUUGUUUGAGAAACUAUAAAUGAUUGUGAUAAGUUGAACAACUUGGUAACCCUUCCAAAUGUUUUGAAUAUAUGAAUCCUCCUUUAGUCUUAACCGUUCGAUAUCGAUAGAGAAAAGAACGUUACGAUGGAUUGCCAAUACAAAAAAAUGUAUGCAACAGUGGUUAGCCGAAUAUGUAUUUAUUAUGUGUUUUUUUUUCGUUAAUAAAAUUAUGUUAUAAUUUUGAAGAUCGAUUGAAGAAAACUUGUUUCAUGUAUUAGCGUUGUUAUAUACAACAACAAUUAUUUCCCUAAUACGAUCACAAUAGUACAUGUUUCAAACAUCUAAUAACACUUGUGUAUAUUGGCAUAUGUAUAUAGUACGGAUACGGGUUAACAAAGAUUCUUAUCGAGACACUUUCGUCCAAUCACAAACUAUUGUCUCAAUUCUUUACAUAACUCAAAAAGCUGGAACUGAUGUGUUUUGAGAUGCAAACUAUGCGCUUCCAGCGAGUCAAGCUCCAGCAGACAAAUUUUACACCCAUACGCGGUUCACUUCUUCUCGUGAAUCUUUGUAUGGGCACGUAGAUUCGAAAGCUGGGUAAACGGUUUUGGACAGGUGUCACACUUGAACGGGCGUUCACCUGAAACAAAAACGUUUUGAAGUUACCCGAGGUGUCCUUGCGGGCGUCGACCAAUCCUAGCUUACCAGUGUGCGAUCUGCGAUGGCGCUUCAGAUCUUCAUUCGAUUUGAAGGUAUUCGAACAGAACUCACAGUUGAAAAUCUUCUCCACAUCGAUCUGGUGUUCCAGCAAGUUGGAUUUGAGCUGAUCCGUCAUUUCGAACGUAUUGCUGCUUGUCACACUUGAAGAACCCGUUGGCUUUGGUGAGCAGUUUCAUGUGUACCUGAAAAAUGUAAAGCGUCGUAUGUAUUGGAUUCAUUUGUUCUCUUAAAAAACAAGGUUGGUCGCAAACCUGGGAAAGUAACUGUACGCCCUAUGUAUUUCUGUUCAAUGUAGUCCUACGUUUGAAAACAGUUUGAACAAUAUUUCGAUGAGAAUUCACUUACAAUUUCUGGGAGAAAGUUAUUCUCGAGCUGCGUGGAAAAUCAUAUCGCGAAACACAACAAUAAAACAAGACACAAUGGGUUCCCGGAAUAAAUCGCCACAGAAAACGACUGCAACAGAAACCACCGCUUAUAAAAUGUGUAGUAGGCUAUAAAUAUUGUGGCGCGGUAUUGUAUUUCAAAACAAGAAUUAACCGGGCAAACGUAUCGCCCCAGGCAAACGUAACGCCCCGGGCAGACGUAUACCGUCCGACGCUCGCUAGAGCUCGGUCGGACAUUGCUAAAGGAUCGUAUCCUAUGUUUCAAACUAACCGGGCAAUCAGUGGAUCCCAGGUUUGCGUGCGAGACACCGCCGCUUCCGACGGCGGGUCGGCGGUGGACUCGGAUUGCGUCAUCUUGGCGGCAUGGGCCGCCUCGAUUCCUUAUCCUCGCCAAAUGGGGACUUCGUCCCCAUUACAUUGUCCUCAGAAUAAAUUUCGAAAAACGAGAACAAGAGAAUAAAUUUAUAAUAGAAAUGUGAGGCACAUGAUGUUUUUCCCGCGCCAAAUAUUUCUAGCCUACUACACUUUUUCUAAGCGGUUGUUUCUGUUGCAGUUGUUUACUGUGGCGAUUUAUUCCGGUCACCGACACAAUGUUAUAAUGAAAAUCGAUGCAAAAGUAGGCCGGGAUCCUUUAUCCGAAUUCUAAUUUUCAAUCGAAGCAAGCAUUUUGUUGAUGCGACGAUUUUGCUCACUGAGGAUUAUAGUUACAUGAGAGAAGCAACUAUAAUUCUCACCAGAAGCCAAAAUGGAGCGAGGACCAGUUACUUCAAAAAUUCCGUCAAUAUCAAGGAUUCCCAUAUGCUCUUGGGCCAGUCAGGAGACUGGAGUUAGGAAGGAAAAGGAUCGUUCUUCGAAGAAGGGUGUUGAAAAUGUAGGCGAUCAACAAAUGGAGAAAAAACAUCAAAUAUGGUUUUUCAACUACAGUGGAUGGUGGAUGUGGAUAGAAGAAGAAUCAUCGCCGCAGCUUGUCCCAAGUGAUAUCAAGGUAUCGUAUGCGAACUUCAUUGAUUCUAAUAUAGAGAGGAUCGAGGAUAUAACUCCUCCGGAGUUGGUUCCCAGUGACGCGCAUCUGGAGGAUGAUGACGAAGAUGUAUUUGACUGGGAACCAGGAAAUAUUUCGGAAAAGCUGAAGAUAAAAGCUGAAAGAAAUCUCUUGAAAAUAAAGGCAGAGAACGAGAAACUUCGGCAAGAGAACCAGCGAUUGAAGGCUAAAAAAGGCGUUAGCCUAAUAAACCGAUUAUGUUUCCGAUUCAUGCUAUUCAUGGUGGGCGAGGUGGCGGAAUCGGUUUUUAACUCAUUUUAAAUUAAUUGUAUCAACUAAAUGAGGUGGUGAAUGUUUGUUGUGUUGCAUUGUUUUGUGUAUUUUUUGUUGUUGUUGCGAGUUGUUGUUUGAUCCUGUUUUUUGUUAUAUAUUCCACGUUGCAAAUUGUACUUUGCUUUUGUCAUGAGUUUAGUUGAUAUUUUAAAUAUUUUAUUGUUUUCAUUUCCGUUUAGUUUCAUGCUUUGUUUCUCUUCAAUAUUUAGUUGUUAUUUUCAUUGUUGUUGUAUUAUGCUAUUUGUAUACUAUUUGGUUUUUCGUUGCAAUUUUUGUUGUUGUGUUUAAUGUUAUAUUUUCAUGUCAGACUUUUUAUGCUUUAUCAAUUGUUUGUUAGGUUGUUAUAUUUAGUUUAGAUAGUAAAUCGCAUACAAUUCAUUUAUAGAACUUCUUCGUUGAAGAUUGUUGUUUAAUUUAUCUGUUUAUUGUUUUUUGUUUGUUUUGUUGUUAUUGUUUAUUGAUUUUUGUUUAAUUUAUUUAUUUUUCAUGAAAUGUUUUGAGUUCCUGAUCCAGCAAGUUGAUGCCUGCAAAACAGCGAAUCCUGAGGAGCGUAGGAUGAAGCAACACAAUUGAUAUUUGAUAUGCAAGACUACAACAAGGGACGUAUGGACAUGGACAAACCUGGAUGCUAAAUGUUUUUUUUCAAGAUAUAUUCUAUGCUGCUACAAUAUUU